rnacentral:lncRNA from 1 species
CGCCAUGUGAGGUCUCAGCAAGAAGGCCACAGUCUACAAGCCAGAAAGGCAGCCCUUACCAGAGACCAACCCUGCCAGACCUUGAUCAUGGACUCCUAGCCUCCAGAACUAGACAGGGCCUCACUGGUCUCAAAUUCCUUCUCAAGUGAUCCUCCCACCUCGGCCUCCCAAAGUGCUGGGAUUGCAGGCAUGAGCCACUGCACCCAGCAGAAAUUCUUAAGGAGGCAAGGCCAACACAGGCCAUUCAUUCAACAUCACGGCACCAUAGUGGCCUCUUUUUAAGAUUCCUCAGGUUCCAGAUAGAUUUUAUCAUGCAAGAUAAGCAAAUGGACCACAGAAUUUUGAAGUUAGAAGUAAUUACAGCAAUGAUCUUAGCCAGCCCCCACACAUUUUGGGACACAUAGGUUCAGGACUGCCCGCCCUGGAGCUGAUUCCAUGAGAUACCCAAACAACUUCUGAAGGAGAAAAAAGUCUUUGCUUCAGUUUCUGCUCUCCAGAGGUAACCCAAAGAGGUAAGGAACCCAGUAAGAAAGACAGAGAGAAGUAUGGACAAAAAACAGAUCCUAAACCUGUUUUGUUUUAUUUUUGGUAGUAGUUGUUUAUUUUUGAAAACAUUCAAACCACCUGUAUUGGUGGCUAUUAUUAUGAAAUAAAUAAACUGAGAAACAACAAGACAAUUUGGCCUCUACAAUUCGUUUAGUUUUGACUAUAUAUUUGCCUUGGAAGAAGUAUGUGUACAAUAUUCAUUUUAAAAGAUACAACAGUCACCUCGUUACUUGGAGUUUUACUUGAGGCUUGAAUGAGACUGAAACCACCUGGACACCACUAGAAGAUAUAUCAAGGAAAAGAAAGGCAACAUAUUGAAUCUCUUGGGAGAAACUCAUCCUGUAUCUGCUCGAUUGAAAACAUGAGGGUGCACAUUCCAAGCUGCAUAUGCUCAGGUCCGAGUUUCCAAGGAAACAAAGGACUGCUCAUUUAUCUGCAAAACUGAACUGACGAGUCAGUUUCAACUUGUUACAAACCUUGAUUCUGAAUCAAAUUCCAGUGUGCAGUCUAAAAAUUCUCACUGUCUUGUCAUUUCUGCCGAGCAAACCCCUGAUGCUAUGAGGUUGGCAGCUGGGCAGGGAUUCCCUGGGUUGUGCACUCUAAUUUUUUCCUCUGCACUGUUAGUGAAAUACUGUCAUUGAGAGCCAGCUCCACACUGCACCUAUGUGAGAAAGGCCUUGGUUUCUAUCAGUAAAGUGAGACAGGGCUAUGUGCAUUUGGGAUGCCCUGGUCAACGAUAUAGGAGGAAGCACAAUGGUCCUCCCAACUCUCACAGUGGCCACCAGCUCUCAGGCUCACAAACCAGGCAAAGCAAAGAGCAACAGGACAACCUACUUCCCAACUUUCAUAGGCACUCGGAUCAUAGUGGGUGAUGGUAUUUCUGAAGGUCUUGAAUACAGGACUUCCUGACCAUUCUUUAGCAUUUACUGAAGAAAGUAUUUCAGAUGUGUUAUGUUGUUUGGCAAUCACAACAAGUGUUGAGAUAGAUACUAUGAUUAUCUUCAUUCUCCAGAAACAGGAACAGAGAGGUUAAGUAAUUUCCCAAAGGUCACACAGUUUGUAAGUGAUAAAACUGAUUUGAAGCCAAACUAUGUCACCCCAAACUCAUAUUUUUAACACUUUAUUCCAUCUUCUAAAAGGCUGGCUAUUCUGUUUUUCUCUAAGUUUCAAAUUAGUAUGCCCAUUCACUUGUUGAUUCAUUCAUUCAUCCAGCAAACAUGUGCCUGCACCUAUGCCAGGCUCUGUGGAUAUAGUAUAAUAGCAAACAAGAGAGACAAGAUUUCUCAGGGAGCUUACGUUUUGUAGAGGAGACUAAAUAAAUAAGCAAGCACAAACAAUGUAGAGUUUGUAAUAUUAUCUAUCCCAACAAAGGAAAUCAACACUAGUGUGAGAAAAUUAAAUUAUAAAAGACCCUAGCAUUUUCAAGAUACUGAAGGAGAUGAGAUGAAGCAGAGGUAGAGUGGGGCUGGGUUAUGAUGGACCACAGAGAACAGACUGGAUUCUAUUUUAAGUGAGGUGAUAAAUUCUUAAGAGUCUUUGUCAUUUUUGAGGUAGAACUGUCUUUUGUUCCUAUUGUAAAGAAACUACAUAGGUAGGCAUAAAAUACACCUGUAUGCCAGAGAUAGAAAAAUUCAUAUAAUUCUGAACUCCAAUUCUAUUUCUCUAGGAUAAUUUUAAUUGUGUAUAUGAAACAUAUCUCAAUGUUCUUGAAAGACUGAAAUCCACUUUUUUUUAAUUAUUUAUUGACUUAUUGAUUUGUGGUUAAGGAAAAAGUAGACUGAAGUAAAAAUAAAGAGUGCAGGAGUAUAAUUGCACAAGAAGUGGGAGGGAGACUUGUUUAACAGGCAACAGCCUAAAGUGAGUAUCCAUGAGUGGGCUCAGGAUGACCCUGCAGCUCCCCCAUCACACUUGCACCCACCUCAAGGAAUCCAAUUCCACUUCUAUGGAAAAUACCUGGGCUCCACGGGACAGAGUCUUGUUUUGUUUUACAUCUGUGUGUCCAUGCCUAGCCAGUAUCUUGUUUUGUGCAGCCUUUCCAUAGUAUUUGUGGAGAGAAGGAAGAAUGAAAGGAAGAAGAGAGGGAGGGGAAAAAGAAAGUGAAAGGAAAGAAGAAAGGUAAAAAGGAAGUAGCACUCUUGGUUUUGCUUCUCCUUGGCUGUUUCGUUAUUCUCAGUACUCCCCAGCCCAUCUUCCCGGGGUAAGAAAAAAAAAGACAUCUAAAAUGACACUUCCAAAAGAUUAAUAUUUUCAUUUCAACAUUUCUGAAAGUAUUUCAAUGAAAUUGCUUUCAAAUGGUUUAUUUUAUAUUAGAUCAUUGAGAGAUAGAUUAAUGUCAUAAACAUAGGUACUAGCAAGCAAUAUUUUUGUCUCCUGUGUGCACAUAUUGUAUGUUUCAUAUCCUCUGAUAACUUGAAGUCACUAAUUUAAGUCAAAUUAGGGAAAGGGCAGUAUAGUAAUUGCUAUAUUUUCGGCUCCUUCUUGAUAACAAAUGCAGCUUCUUUUUUCCCCUCCACCCAUAUAUGAGUCUUCUUUUUCUUUGGCAAAGAUAUAAUGGCACUGCUCUACAUGAACAAAAAUAUUUUUACUGGCUAUGUUAUCACUGAGAAAUGCAUUGGGAAAAUGUAAAAAUAUUUCACCUUUAUGUUGAAGAAAAUAAACACAGUGGAUUAGAU